CUGAUAGCUGCAGUCGACGGGCUCGGCCGCAAGGCCGGGUCAGUGGCGCAAGGGUGAGUAAGGCGACGGUAACCAACCCCAUGGUCGGGCAUAGCCGCGGGAAACUGCGGGUAAUUCCCAGCGACGUGGACCUCGGGCAUCUGAGGACCACCAAAGCUCCGGCGCCGUGGGACGGGCCGUCGUGGUAUUAGGUCGUUGGCGGGGUAAUGGCCCACCAAGCCUGUGAUGCCUACCGGGCGUGCGAGCGUGGCCCGGCACACUGGGACUGAGAUACUGCCCAGACUCCUACGGGAGGCUGCAGUCGAGAAUCUUCGGCAAUGGGCGCAAGCCUGACCGAGCGACGCCGCGUGGAGGAUGAAGGCCUUCGGGUUGUAAACUCCUGUCGAGGGGGAGGAAGGCCGGGUAACCGGCUUGACCGAUCCCUGGAGGAAGCACGGGCUAAGUUCGUGCCAGCAGCCGCGGUAAGACGAACCGUGCGAACGUUAUUCGGAAUCACUGGGCUUAAAGCGCGUGUAGGCGGAUGGGAACGUCGGUCGCUGAAAGCCCCCGGCUCAACCGGGGAACGGGCGCCGAAACGCCCCGUCUGGAGGGACGUAGGGGGACCUGGAACUUCCGGUGGAGCGGUGAAAUGCGUUGAGAUCGGAAGGAACGCCCGUGGCGAAAGCGAGGUCCUGGACGUCUUCUGACGCUGAGACGCGAAAGCUAGGGGAGCGAACGGGAUUAGAUACCCCGGUAGUCCUAGCCGUAAACGAUGGGCACUGGGUAGGGGGCUCGCCGAUGGGCUCCCUGCCGCAGCGAAAGCGUGAAGUGCCCCGCCUGGGGAGUAUGGUCGCAAGGCUGAACUCAAAGGA
rnacentral:rRNA from 1 species